UGCAGGGUAGUAGCAGUUGGCAGCUCGUCGGGCUCAUAACCCGGAGGUCGCAGGUUCGAGUCCUGCCCCUGCAA
rnacentral:tRNA from 1 species